UACAGAGGUCUCAAGCGUUGUUCGGAUUCAUUGGGCGUAAAGGGUGCGUAGGCGGCGCGGUAAGUCGGGUGUGAAAUCUCGGGGCUUAACUCCGAAACUGCAUUCGAUACUGCCGUGCUUGAGGACUGGAGAGGAGACUGGAAUUUACGGUGUAGCGGUGAAAUGCGUAGAUAUCGUAAGGAAGACCAGUGGCGAAGGCGGGUCUCU
rnacentral:rRNA from 1 species